rnacentral:rRNA from 1 species
UCUUCCCUCUUUCUUCGUGCCUAAUACAUGCAAGUCGAGCGAACGGACGAGAAGCUUGCUUCUCUGAUGUUAGCGGCGGACGGGUGAGUAACACGUGGAUAACCUACCUAUAAGACUGGGAUAACUUCGGGAAACCGGAGCUAAUACCGGAUAAUAUUUUGAACCGCAUGGUUCAAAAGUGAAAGACGGUCUUGCUGUCACUUAUAGAUGGAUCCGCGCUGCAUUAGCUAGUUGGUAAGGUAACGGCUUACCAAGGCAACGAUGCAUAGCCGACCUGAGAGGGUGAUCCGCCACACUGGAACGGAGACACGGGCCAGACUCCUAAGGGAGGCAGCAGUAGGGAAUCUUCCGCAAUGGGGGAAAGCCUGACGGAGCAACGCCGCGUGAGUUAUGAAGGUCUUCGGAUCGUAAAACUCUGUUAUUAGGGAAGAACAUAUGUGUAAGUAACUGUGCACAUCUUGACGGUACCUAAUCAGAAAGCCACGGCUAACUACGUG